rnacentral:rRNA from 1 species
UACGGAGGGGGCUAGCGUUGUUCGGAAUUACUGGGCGUAAAGCGCACGUAGGCGGCUUGGAAAGUUGGGGGUGAAAUCCCGGGGCUCAACCCCGGAACUGCCUUCAAAACUCCCAGUCUGGAGGUCGAGAGAGGUGAGUGGAAUUCCGAGUGUAGAGGUGAAAUUCGUAGAUAUUCGGAGGAACACCAGUGGCGAAGGCGGCUCACUGGCUCGAUACUGACGCUGAGGUGCGAAAGCGUGGGGAGCAAACAGG